GGUCAAAUUAUUCUCUUGGUAUCGUCUGAUUUCUAAUAUGAAUAUAAAUCAUGUCCUUAAAUUUUCAAUUGCACAAAAUACGAACAUUUCAACGUCUUUUUAAUUACUAGUAAACAAUUAAAUUCACACGUCUUUCAUUAAUUAUUUGUAACCUAUUAUAAAACUUUACGUUGAGUACUGUGUUUUCCGUUCAAGACUACGGCUUUUUAAAACGAUAUUGUUGGGUCAAUUCAGGUUUCAUUUUAAUUAAUUUGAUAUCAAUAGAAGAAAAAUUGUUACAUGUUUAUUUGUUUAUUUGUGUAUAAUUUUGUUGUGAGGCGUUUUUUCUUUCUGUUGAUAUCAUAAACACGAAAUGCCUUCUCCUAGCGUCUAAAACAAACAAAAAAACAGUGUUUUUAAGUCAGGCUGCACACAGAACAACGUUCAGAAUGCUGUGAUUUCU
rnacentral:lncRNA from 1 species